UUUGCCUUCUUCUUCUGGAACACAGACCACAUAAAAGGUGAACCCUUGAGGAACUGAAGUUUCACUACUAGGUCAUUUGGAUAAAUUCCUGAAAGUGGAAUUGUGGUUUCAAAGGACAUAAACCUCUCAUGGCCUUUAAUACAUCUACCGAGUUGCUUCUGACCAGGGCCACCAAACUGGAAGUGACAUUGAAUUCCUGGCUGUACCUCACCUGUACCUCUCAAAUGGUAAUUUUACUUUCUACCUACACUAGAACUAUGCCUCUCUUAUUUUCCUAAAAAGAUAAACUCCUUAA